CUCUUAGUAGAAGUUCGGCUCUCACGGGAGCUCGGUUGGAAUCUUGAAGGCGGUCGACCGUUGUAGGAACUUGGAUGGAGUCUGAUUACUGUAGAAAUCUCGUUGUCGAAGAAGCUCGAAUAUUGACGAAGUCCGAAAGAAGUUUGGAGAAUAGUUGAUCACUGUAGAAGGUCGGCUGAUAGUGAGGUCUAGAGAGCCUGUGGAGCAGCCUGGUAGAUGGAUGGAGAGACUCCUUGUCGGAGAAGUUCGGAAGCUCGGACGGUCGAGGGGGUUCGGAGAGAUGCCAC
rnacentral:lncRNA from 1 species